rnacentral:rRNA from 1 species
CCUACGGGUGGCAGCAGUGAGGAAUAUUGGUCAAUGGCCGUAAGGCUGAACCAGCCAAGUCGCGUGAGGGAAGACUGCCCUAUGGGUUGUAAACCUCUUUUAUGCGGGGAUAAAGGUUUCCACGCGUGGAUGUUUGCAUGUACCUCAUGAAUAAGGACCGGCUAAUUCCGUGCCAGCAGCCGCGGUAAUACGGAAGGUCCGGGCGUUAUCCGGAUUUAUUGGGUUUAAAGGGAGCGUAGGCCGGUCUUUAAGCGUGCCGUGAAAUGUUGGGGCUCAACCAUGAGAGUGCGGCGCGAACUGGAGGCCUUGAGUGCGCGGAAGGCAGGCGGAAUUCGUGGUGUAGCGGUGAAAUGCUUAGAUAUCGCGAAGAACCCCGAGUGCGAAGGCAGCCUGCCGCAGCGUGACUGACGCUGAGGCUCGAAAGCGCGGGUAUCGAACAGGAUUAGAUACCCUGGUAGUC